rnacentral:rRNA from 1 species
GCCUUCAUGAAGUCGGAAUUGCUAGUAAUGGCAGGUCAGCAUACUGCCGUGAAUACGUUCCCGGGCCUUGUACACACCGCCCGUCACACCAUGAGAGUUGGAAAUACCCGAAGCCUGUGAGCUAACAGUAAUGAGGCAGCAGUCGAAGGUAGAGCCAAUGAUUGGGGUGAAGUCGUAACAAGGUACC